rnacentral:misc_RNA from 1 species
UAGCGACAGUCGCCAACGAC